rnacentral:rRNA from 1 species
UACGGGGGGAGCAAGCGUUGUUCGGAUUUACUGGGCGUAAAGGGCGCGUAGGCGGUCAGCACAAGUCAGUUGUGAAAUCUCCGGGCUUAACCCGGAAAGGUCAGCCGAUACUGCGGGGCUAGAGUGCAGAAGGGGCAACUGGAAUUCUCGGUGUAGCGGUGAAAUGCGUAGAUAUCGAGAGGAACACCUGCGGCGAAGGCGGGUUGCUGGGCUGACACUGACGCUGAAGCGCGAAAGCUAGGGGAGCGAACGGG